UUUCUCUCUCUGUCCAAUUCUUUCUCCCCUCUCCUCCCCUAUUUUCUUUGUUUGUUUCUUCUCUCAAACCUGAAUCUUUACGAUGAACAUAGAAUCCUAUGGCCAAUAUUCCAAAUCUUCUUUAGAAAUUCAAUUAUAUGACCUCUUUGUAGAAGGGAAACCCAUCAAAAUAUCAAAAAUACCAACAAACCAAAAAUGAGUCAAUUAAAAGGUCCUCAAAAAUCACCACACCUCAAAAUUAACCCAUAAAGGAUUUUGAAAUAGAAAUCAUGCGUCUUUUACCCAUUAAUACUUCCAAAAGAUUUGAGUUUUUUGAGAAAAUUUAGCCUCAAAUUUUAAAAAUCAAACAAGACAAACUUUUUUCCAAAUCAGUAAAAAAAAAAAAAGUGAUUAUUCUCCCACUUUUUUAUCGGGACAAAAAUGGACCACCAAACUUCUUCUCCACCACCUAACGCCUUCAGCCAUGGAAAUGGACCAUCAAACUUCUUCUCCAACGUUUCGAUCUGGACAAAAAAAUUAAUUUUUUGUCUCAAUUUGGUUUCUUUAUUCCUUUUAAUUUUAUUUCUAUAAUAUAUAAAGAGGAAGAAUUGGAAGAGAAGAGGAGGAAGAACAUGAAGAGAGAGAAACAGAUGGGAAGAAGGAAGAAUGUGAGGGGAGAGAGAGAAAUCAAUGGGGAGGGGAUUAGGGGAUUAAUGGUUGAAGUUUUUUUUUAUUUUUUGUUAUUUGAUUUUUAUUAUUUUUUUAUUUUCUAUGUGACAUGACAUCUACACAUUGUUACUUUUUGACGUGACAGUCAACGUGGAGGCGUUUAAACAAUAUGCACCAUGAGCAGAUCGAAAAAGGGUUUAAAAUGCUCAAUUUUGAUGGGUAAAAGGUGUUAUAGCCCGUAUUUUGUACGUUUGGAUAUUUCAAAGUCGUCGUGGAAAGUUAAGGGCGAAACCAAUUUCAAAAAUUAUAUUAAUGCACAAGUUGUUAUGAAUAUUAUUUAUGACUAUUAUUAGCAUGAAAAUAUUGCGAGAGGCUAAGGGCAAGAAGAGAAAUUCGCAAAAUGGGUCAUGGAAAUAAUGUGGAAGGCUAGGGGCAAAAUGGUAAUAUUGAGGAAAGUCGAAGGGCAAAACGGAAAUUUCACACAAGUUCAUGAAAAUUCCAAAAGGGGCCAUAUUGGCCAUGUGAAUAAUAAAGGGGGAAAAAAUGAAAAAGGAUGACAAAAUAAGUCAUCUUCUAAUUUUAAAAAAAAUUCAAGAAAAAGGGGGGAAAAUUCUAGAGAAAUUGAGAGAGGGGCAUGUGCCCCUCACAUGCUUGAGCAAUUAUAUAUAUAUGCUCAUCCUUUAAUUCAAGACAAAGAAAACCAAGAACAAAAAAAAAAAAAAAAAAAAAAAAAAGAGAAUGGGAAAAAAAAGAGAGCAUUCGGCCACCAUGGCCAAAAAUUGGCCAUGGAAAAUUGAUUAAGAAAAAUUAUUUUCUUCUUGCAUUUCAAGUAAUUGGAAGGUUCUCUACGACGUGGUAUAAGCGUUGGAGCGAACAAAACGUUCUUUUGGAAGUGAGGUUAAUAGAGAGAAGGAAUUUUUUGUUAAGGGUGGUUGCCCCUCUCUGUUGUGCCAGUGAUUUUCUUUUCAGUAACUAAACCAACAGCCCUUGAUCAUGAAGUACACAAACAAAUUGAAACAUAUGCUCAGCCGUAGAUCUCAGUGUGUGUGUUGCUUUUUCCCCCUUUUGGAGUAAUUGUGCAAAAAAGGAUGUGAUGAUGGUAAUGUUUUACUCUCUGGGCUAACAAAAUCGGGCAUUGAGGACAGUCCGACCCGUAUCUCUUCCUGGCAAAUCCCAGGAUGGCAUGCAACUGAGGCUCUCUCUUUUGCAUGCAACCGGUGAUUUUGCAGUCAUGGCGUGGUUGCCUUCCCUUUGUCCAAGCAAAAACGCAGUAUCUGAGCCUCAAAUUUUUGUGCUUUAAAGGGUCGUUUGGUUGUUGGUUAGGAUGCGAGUUAUUCGUGUUAGGAUGAUUAUUUCCCCCUUUGGAGUAUUUGUGCAAAAGAGCUUUCAUGAUGGCAAUAUUUUACUUUCUGGGCUAACAAAAUUGGACAUUGAGGACAGUCCGACCCAUAUCUUGGCUUGGCAAUCCCAGGAUGGUGUGCAACUGAGGCUCUCUAUUUUGCAUGCCCAAGUUUACCCUUUACUGAAAUGGAUUUAUUACUAUGGCACGAAGAAUAAACUCUAAUUGUAAAUGCCGAACCAGAACUGGAAGUAGCAACGAAAGAGAUAAAAGGAAUACCAUUGCGCAGAGAAAUUCUCGUCAUCUUCAAUGAAUUGGUGGAAAUUUUUCAGCGGAUGUAAGAGAGAGAAAGAGAGAAUUCUGAGGCUGCAAUUGAUACUUGGCAAGAGAAAUUAAGAGACCCGUAUCUUGGCGGGGCGACCCGGAAUGCAACCCGCGGUUUGCAGCCAUGGCGAUGUCUUUAUUCUCUUGUUUAUUCAACAGAUAGGAGCUUCAAUUUUACUCUUGUAGCUCUUGUUUGGAUGGUUGUUACCUAUUGUAUUGUAUUUUUAUGCUAAAAGGGUGUGUUUGGUAUGAAGGAAAUUGUUUCUUUUAUGAUGAAUUUCAUCAGUGUUUGGUUACUAAUGUAGCCCUCUGAGAAGAAUAAUGUUGGGAAAUUUUCUGGUGAAAACUAAGAGCCCGUUUGGAUUAGCUUAUAAGUUGCUGAAAACAGAAGUUAGCCCAGAAUAGAAAUGAGGUUAACAGAGAGGAGGGAUUUUCUUCCAAGGGUGGUUGCCCCUCUCUACAACUCCAAUGAUUUCUCACAUAAAAAAAGGAAAAAAAUAAAUAAAAAUCAAACAACCCUUGAAAGGAUUGACUCAAAAUGGUCCUUUAAGUUAUCAAAAAAAAAAAUAUAUGUGUAUCAAAAAAUGGUCCUUUAAGUUAUGUAGUUGAGCUAAGUUCAUCUCACAAAGAAGAGAUUGAGAGAAUUCUGAUGUUGCCGUUGAUACUUGGCAAGAGAAUAUUAGAGAUCCGUAUCUUGGCGGGGCGACCCGGAACUCAACCCGAGGUUUGCAGCCAUGGCGAUGUCUUUAUUUUCUUGUUUUAUAAACAGAUCUGAGCUUUAAUUUUAGUCUUGUAGCUCUUGUUUGAAUGGUUGUUACCUAUUGUAUUGCGUUAUUAUGCUAAAAGGGUGUGUUUGGUAUGAAGGAAAAUGUUUUUUGUUUUGUCAUAAAAAAAAAAUGUUUUUGUUUGAAGAAAGUUGGGAAAUUUUUAGGCGAGGGCCAAGAAUUUUCUUUAAAAAAAAUUCUGGCCAGAGAGAGAAAUGAGGUUAACAGAAAAGGGAUGUUCUGUUAAGGGUGGUUGCCCCUCUCUGUUGUGCCAAUGAUUUUCUUUUUAGCAACUAAACCAACAGCCCUUUGUUCAUGAAAAAUAUGCAUGCAUUUUCUUCAAUCUACAGCUUCAGCUGUAUAUCUCAGUGUGUGUGCUUCUGUUUCCUCCUUUUGGAGUAAUUGAGCAAAAGAGGCUGUGAUGAAGAUAAUGUUUUACUGUCUGGGCUAACAAGGGCAUUGAGGACAGUCCGACCCGUAUCUUGGCUUGGCAAAUCCCAGGAUGGCCUGCAUCUGAGGCUCUCUUUGGCAUGCAACUGGUGAUUUUGCAGCCAUGGCGUGGUUGCCAUCUCUUUGUCCGAGCAAAAAUGCAGUAUCUGAGCCUCAAAUUUUUGUGCUUUAAAGGGUCGUUUGGUUGCUGGUUACGAAGCGAGUUAUUCGUGUUAGGAGGAUUAUUUCCCCCUUUGGAGUAAUUGUGCAAAAGAGCUGUCGUGAUGACAAUGUUUUACUUUCUGGGCUAACAAAAUUGGGCAUUGAGGACAGUCCGACCCGUAUCUUGGCUUGGCAAAUCCCAGGAUAGCGUGCAACUGACGCUCUCUCUUUUGCAUGCAACUGGUGAUUUUGCAGCCAUGGCGAGGUUGCCUUCCCUUUGUCCAAGCAAAAAAGCAGUAUCUGGGCCUCAAAUUUCUGAAAAUCGAACCGGGGACCUCUUGUGCUUUGAAAUACAUUAAAGUUUGCUCCAAUUAGAAUGAUAUACAGUCAGACCUCUCUAUAACAUCCAUUCGCUAUAAUAACAUUUCACUAUAACAACCAAGUCUCUGGAUUGUUCUCUAUAAUAGCAUUUCGCUAUAACAGCCAAGAAAUGUCUACACAAACGAUGCCAUUAUAAAAAAGUUCUACUGGAUCACAGAAAGAUGGGUACUUUAUCUGCUUCUUAGAUAUAAGCCUAUGAUUUCGGAGACAAUUUAACCGAAGAGACCCAGUAAGUCUGCAUUUAAGCCAAAAGCACUUUGCUUUCUCAGUGAAUGUUGUUGAUAGAUAGAUAUAUAAAUAGAGAAUAUGAGGCUAUGAUGAUAGUUUCUUCCCUUUUUUUGAGCAACUCAAUAGGGCAAGAAAAUAGAGAGACCGUAUCUUGGCGGGGCAACCCAGAUGGCUAGUUAUUUUGUGUCAUGCAACCGGUGUUUGCAGCCAUGGCGUUGCCUUCAUUCUCGUCUUAUCAACAGAUCUGAGCCUCAAAAAUACUCUUAUGGCGUCUUUGGUAUGAUGGAAAACAUUUUUCUUGAUGAAAUCAGCACUUGGACCAACGUAUCCUUAUGAGGAGAAAAGUUGUGAAAUUUUCAGGUGAGAGCCAAUAAUUCCUAAAAAAAAUAAAAGUCAGCCAGAAAGAGAAAUGAGGUUAAUGGAGAGACGGGAUUUUCUUCUAAGGGUGGUUGCCCCUCUCUGUUGCGCCAAUGAUUUUCUUUAGCAUACUAAACCAACAACCCUUGUUCAUGAAAUACUCAGAAGCAGAAGAUGAUCCAUAUAGCUCAGUAAGUGUAUUCUUGGGGGAUUUGCACUAAUGACCUUUUUUGUGGUAGUGAUGAUAAUGAUAUCACAUUCUGGGUUGACAAAUGGGGCAUUGAAGACAAUCCGACCCAUAUCUUGGCCUGGCAAAUCCAAGGAUGGCGUGCAACUGAGGUUCUCUCUUUUGCAUGCAACCUGUGAUUUUGCAGCCAUGGCGUGGUUGCAUUCUCUUUAAGUGGUCGUUUGGUUGCUGGUUAGGGGAGGAGUUAUUCAUGUUAGGAGGGUUUUUUCUAAGGGUGGUUGCGCCUCUCUGCAACUCCAGUGAUUUCUCUAUAUGAAAAAAAAAAAAUGAAAAAACUCAACCAACCCUUUAAAUCUGAGGGAAAAAUCAUUCACACCCUGUUGAGAUUUUUGACUCAAAUGAUCCUUUAUGUUAUGGAGUUGAUCUAAUUUCUUCUCACAAAGAAGAGAGAGAGAAUUCGGAGGCUGUGAUGAUACUUUCUUAUUUUCUUUGGGGCAAGAGAAAUUAAGAGACCCGUAUCUUGGCGGGGUGACCCGGAAAGCAACCCGAGGUUUGCAGCCACGGCGAUGUCUUCAUUCUCUUGUUUUAUCAACAAAUCUGAGCUUCAGAUUUAGUCUUGUAGCUCUUGUUUGGAUGGUUGUUACCUAAUGUAUUGUUACGCUAAAAGGGUGUGUUUGGUAUGAAGGAAAAUGUUUUUUUAUGAUGAAUUUCAUCAAAGUUUGGAUACUAAUGUAGCCCUCUUAGAAGAAGAAAGUUGGGAAAUUUUCUGGUAAAAACUAAGAAUUUUCCUAACCACCAACCCCCCCCCCCCCCCCCCCCCCCCGCCGCAAAAUACCCGUUUGGGUGGUUCAUUAUUGUAUUGUUUUCAUUGAAGGAAGGAAAAAUCAAACAGCCAUGGCGAUGUCUUAUCAACAGAUCUGAGCCUCAAACUCUUAUGGCACCUUUGGUAUGAUGGAAAACACUUUUCCUGAUGAAAUCAGCACUUGGACCAAUGUAUACCUAUGAGAAGAGAAAAGUUGUGAAAAUUUUCAGGUGAGAGCCAAUAAUUCCUAAAAACAAAAGUCAGCCAGAAAGAGAAAUGAUGUUAAUAGAGAAACGGGAUUUUCUUCUAAGGGUGGUUGCCCCUCUCUGUUGUGCCAAUGAUUUUCUUUAGCAAUACUAAACCAACAGCCCUUGUUGAAAUACUCAGAACAACAGCUAUGAGCAUUGGAACAUAUGCUUCUUCAGUCUGCGGCUUCAGCAUAUAUGUGUGUGUAUUUCUGUUUUCCUCCUUUUGAGUAAUUGUACAAUAGAGGCAGUGAUGAUAAUAAUCUUCCACUUACUGGGCUAACAAAAUCGGGCAUUGAGGACCAUCCGACUGUAUCUUGGCCUGGCAAAUCCCGGGAUGGCCUGCAUUUGAGCCUCUCUCUUAGUCUCUUUUGCAUGCCACCAGUGAUUUUGCAGCCAUGGCGUGGUUGUGUGCUCUUUGUUCGGGCAGAAUUCAGUAUCUGAGCCUCUAAUUUCUAUGAAUCGAACUUGGGACCUGUUGUGCUUUGAAUAAUAUUAACAUUUGCUCCAAAUGUUAGUUCUACAGAUCAAAAGAAUGAGGUGUCACAUAAAGAUGGGUACUUUUUCUUCUCAGGAAUUUCAAUCCGAAAGCACUUUGUUGUCUCCAUUAAUACUCACUGGAUUGGGAAUUUGAACUGAAACGUCAAUCGAACACGCAACACAACUUUCUGAUCUGGAGUCAAACGUGCUACUAUUACGCCAUGAAUCCUUAUGGUGUCUUUAUAGGAUUGAAAGUAUUUUUUCUGGAUGAAAUCAGUAUUUAGUUAGCAAUGUGUCCUGCUGUGGAUAACCGAGUGAAGGGAUUUUCUUCUAAGGGUGGUUGUUCCUCUCGGUUGUGCCAAUGAUUUUCUUUAGCUACUAAACCAACAACCCUUGUUCAUGAAAUAUUCAGAACCAGAAGCUAUGAAGCCAUAUAUCUUAGUGUGUGCGUGUGUGUAUUUUUUUCCUUCUUUCAAGUUUAUCUUUUUCAUGAUGAAAUCAGUAUUUGGUUACGGAUGUAUCCCUCUAAGAAGAGAAAAGUUGGGAAUUUUCAGGUGAGAACCAAGAACUUUCCAGAAUGAAGAAGUCAGCCCAGAAAGAGAACUGAGGCUAACAGAGGGAGGGAAUUUUCUUCUAAAGGUGGUCACCCCUCUCUGUUUGGCCCAAUGAUUUCUUUAGCAACUAAACCAACAGCCCUUGUUCAUCAAAUACUCAGAAAGGUCACUCUGAUCAUGGAAAAACAAGCAUUAAUCUUCAUCUGUUUUUGGUCUGCAGCUUUAGCAUAAACUUGUGUCUGUGUGUGUGUCUUUUUGGCAUAUAUCUUUUUCCUCUUUUUGAGUAAUAGAGGCAGUGAUGAUGUUUCAAUUUCUGGGCGGACAAAAUUGGGUAUUGAGACAGUGCAACCCGUAUCUUGGCUUGGCAAAUCGACUGGUGAUAUUGCAGCCACAGCGUGUUUGCCUUCUCUUGGCCUGAUCAAAAUGCAGAUCUGAGCCUCAAAUUUCUGCGAAUCGAACCCGGCUCCUCAUGUUCUUUGAAAUCUAUUAAUGUUUGGUCCAAAUUUUAGCCCAAGCUUCAGACCAAAAGAAUGAGGUGUCAGAGAAGAUGGGUACUUUUUCUUCUCUGGUAAGCCCAUGAUUUCAAAACCAAAAGCACUUUUCUUUCUCAUUGACCGUGGUUGAUAGAUAUAUAGAUAGAAUUUUUUUCUGAUUCCAUGCAAACCCAAAUCAAUCUAUCGACUAUGCUCAAUCCCGGGACACAUGAUUGGAAAUGCCAUUGGAAGGAAUUGAACCUUCGACCUUGUGGUUAAUAGCGACAUGCUCUAACCAACUGAGCUACACCACGCAAGCCCAAAGUGGAUGAAAAAAAGAUAAAUAAAUAAAUGACGGGGCUAUGAUGAAAUUCUUCCUAGAAAAUGAAAUGAAGCAUUCAGAUAAUUUGAGCCGUAGCUUGGCAGGGCGACCUGUUAGCGUCUAUGGUAACAUGCUAAAGGCUUGCAGCCAUCAUGGUGCUGAAUCCGGCAUGCCAAUGAUUUCUUUGUUGCUCCAACCAACAGCUCCUUUUUGUAGGUUUUUGCUGUCUACAGUGGAUGGAAUUUCAACCCAGAAUAAAGAAUGAGGCCAACAGGGAGAAGGGAUUUCUUGGAGGGUGGUUGCCCUCUCUGCUUGGCCUAUGAUUUCUCCAUCUACCAAACCAACAACCCUCUUCAGAAAAAAACAGGCAAGUAUGUUUGGUGAUUCUGAUAGUCGAGAUGCUAUCUUUUUGAGUUUAAGCCUUGAGGCAAUGUUUUUGGUCCAAAACAUCCCCAGAUCUGAAGGUUGCGUUUGUUUGAUGAGAAUUUUUUAACAUGUCCAAAUGGCUCCUAGAACUAUGGAAAAGUUCCCAUUUCUCAGAGGUAAUGAUGAUACUGCUAAUCCCUGCUGAAGUUCGGGGCAUGGAGACAGUCUGACCCGUAUCUUGGCAGGGGAAACCUGGAUGGUUUGGGAUUGAGGCCUUCUCUUUCACGUGCAACCGGCUGCUUGCAGCCAUGGCGUGUUGUUGCCUACUCUUUGCCCCGUUUUACGCAGAUCUGAGCCUCAAUAUCCAACUAGUACAUCUGGAUUUUUUGGGUCUCGAACCCAGAAUCUCUCGUUUGGUGAAAAACAUUUGGGUUAUUCAAUUUUUCUUAAACACCUUCUUGCUGUUCUCCAUCAAACUUUUAGCUCAAACAAUUGAGGCAAUUGGAGAAAAAAAAAAAGGGAUCUUUUAGGGUGGUUGACCAUCUCCAACAUUCCUAUGAUUUCUAUUCUCUUUAAGUUCUCACAAACAGCUCUUUUUGUUUGUGUGUGUUUGUUAAUCAACCCCCAUACAUUAGGGACCAUAUUGAUUAUUUUUCUUUUGAUGUGGUGUACAAUUAUCGUACUAGUGUGGAGACCCAAAUCACCGCAUUGAGCGCAGAUUUUCGUCACAGAAACCCAAAGGGAAGGCACUAGCUGGGAAUCAAACUCGGAUCUGUACUGCGGCAGGGUACUAUCUACCAGUAGACCACUGGUACAAGGGACAGAUCAUUUUAUCUCUGUUUUCUGCUACUGUUAUACUCUGUUCCUCAGAGGCUGCAUUGGCAAAGCAACAGCAGAACUAUAUGACAAUGAAAUGGAAAAGAAAAUGAUGGGGCUGUGAGAUUGAUUGUUAUUGAGCGUAUGGAACCUGGCAUUGUAGUUUCAGACCUGUAUCUUGGCGGGGCAACCCGUAUUAUAGGGUCUGCAGCCAUGGCAGUGUCAAAGAACUCAUUGCCUGAGAUAAUUACCUAGCUGAGCCUCAAGUCUUUUGAAAUGGCUGAAUAUAUUGACGGCCCCUCAAACUUGCAGAAAGUUUUCAUCUAGAUGCACGUUGCCGAAGUUGUCCAAACAGGCUCUUAUGGAAAAGUUUCCAUUUUUCAGAAGAGGCAAUGAUGAUAUUGCUAAUCUUGGCUGAAAUUUGGGGCAUGGAGAAAAUCUGACCCAUAUCAUGGCAUGGAAAACCGGGAUGGUUUGUGAUUGGGGCUUCUCUUUUACAUGCAACCGGUUUCUUUUGCAGUCAUGUUGUUGUUGCCUUCUCUUUUCCCCAUUUUAGGCAGAUCUGAGCCUCAAUUUCCAAUUAGAGCCUGUUUGGAUGGGCUUAUGCCUAUAAGCUGCAAACAGCUUAUAAGCUAAAAAAAAAUAAGUUGGGGUAGUCUAACUUUUUUUUUUUGGCUUAUAAGCUCUUUUCAGCUUAUAAGCUGCUUUAGAUAAGCUAAGUCAAAUGGGCCCAAUUAUUUUUUUGAGCUUAUUUUAAGCACAAAAUGACUUUAAGCUGGCCAACCAAACACUCAAAAAAGCUGAAAACAGCUUAUAAGCAACUUAUAAGCCAAUCCAAACGGGCUCUUAGUCUUUAAAUAGGGGGCCCAAAACGGCUAUUUGUGUCGUCCCCCACUUUAUUUGCAUUGAGCAAAUUCAGCCGUAUCUUGGUGGGGCGACCUGGUAUGACAUCAUCUGUAAACCGGUGUCUGCAGCCAUGGCGUGUAUCACUUUCUCUUUGCAUAGAUCAAAGAACAGCAAAAUUUGAGCUCUAAAGUCACAGCACUCCCAUUUUAUGGUCUUGAAUUGGAUGGCCGUUCUCUGGAACCUGAAUCCCACUCGGGUUCUUCAGUUUUUCUUGAAUAACCCAGUUGAGGUGCUGUUCUCCAUCAAAUCUUAGCUAAAAAGUGAGACAAUAGGUGAAAAAUGGGAUUAUUCACCAUCUCCAGCAUGCCAAUGCGUCUCUUCAGCUCUAACUAACAGGCCUUUGUGUAUAUAUAUGUAUGUGUAUUAACUACACAAAAAAAAGUGGAGGUUCUGCCCAACAUGAAUACUGAGGCCAACAGAGAGACAAGGGAAUUCUUGGGAAUACGUCAACCAAAAGAACAACCCUCUUCAGAAGUACUAGUACUGCUUUCUGAUUUCUCUGAACUUAAACCCAACAUCAUGUUUGAAAUUGUCCAAACGGGCUCUGUAUGGUAAAAUUACCAUUUUUCUAGAGGCAGUGAUGAUAUUGCUAAUCUGGGAUGAUAUUCGGGGCAUGGGACAAUCUGACCAGUAGCUUGGCAGAGCAAACCCGGGUGGUUUGUGAUUGAGGCUUAUCCUUCACAUGCAACUGGCUCUUUUACAGCCAUGUCGUUGUCAGAUUCUCCUUACAACAGCAACAACAACAACAUACCCAGUGUAAUCCCAUAAGUGGGGUCUGGGAGGGUAGUGUGUAUGCAGACCUUACCCCUACCUCGCAAGGUAGAGAGGUGUUGGAUUCUCUUUGUCCCAUCUUUUUGCAGAUCUGAGGCUCCAUUUCCAACUAGUCUUUCUGGACUUUCAGGACUCGAACCUAGGAGUACCUUGUUGUAUGGAAACCCAUGUCAUUUUUGGACUAUGCAUGUUGUUGCUGCUGUUGCUGCAUCUUCUUCUGUUUCUUUUGUUCUUGAUGGUGAUGGUUGUGUUAUCAACCAAAUAGCAGAAAAUUAAUGCAAGAAGGGGAGAUUUUAUGGCUGUGAUGUUAUAAUGCUUUUUUUUAAUUAGCAAUUUGAAUUGGGUGUUGAGAUGAUAAGAACCGUAUCUUGGUAGGGUUACCAGGCGAGGUAGCAGCCAUGGCGGUUUCUGAUAAACUCAAUGCCUGAUUAAAAUUGAAAACUGAGCCUUGUCAUGUACAUGAUGUACAUGUAUAUUGUCUGUAUAUACAACACACACACAAGUAAACAAAGUGUGGUCUCUCUAACAGCUUAAUUAGAUGAGAUGAUCACACACUUCAACACACACAAAAAGAUACAUCAACAACAACAACAACAACAUACCCAAUGAAAUCACACAAAGUGGGGUCUGGGGAGGGUAGAGUGUACGCAGACCAUACCUCUACCUUGGGAGGUAGAGAGGCUGUUUCCAGCAGACCCUCGGCUUAAGGACAAAAUAGCAAGUUGAUCGACUCUGCGGGGAUCGAACCCAGAAUCUCUGUUUCCGUAGGCCAGCACCUUAUCCAUUUUGCCACAGAGUCUUUGAUACUACAUGUCCAAAAUGGUCCCUUAUCGAGGCAGUGAUGGUCUUUAAAUCUAUCCUCAUAGAAUAUCGACCCGUAUCUUGGCGAGGCAUUGACCUGGAUGCCUGUGAUUUGAUUACAUGCAACUGGGGGUAUUGCAGCCAUGGCGUGGCCGGACUUUCUUUGCCCGAGCAUAAAACAGAUCUGAGCCUCAAUUGUCACUUAUAUAUUACUCUAUUGUAUUUGGUAUGGAGGAAAAUGUUUCAGUGAGGAAGAAUGAGGCAGCAGAGAGAUGGGAAUUUCUGUGAAGGUCGGUUGCCCCUCUCUGCUAUGUCCUUAAUUUCUCCAUUUGUGAAACCAACAACCCUUUGAGAAAAACAAGAACAGGAAAAUGAUAACCAUCUCAACAACACCCCUUUGAGUAUUUACCUCUGUGAAAAAGCGGCUAUGCUCUUCCUUUCUUCUGCUUCUGCUUCUGCUGCUACCACUGCUAUCUAUGAUAAACAGCAGCCCUAAAAGUGGAUGCCUGGUGUCGUUUCUAUGUUGAUCUUCGCAGAUCACCUGAAAAUGGGCUGUGAUGAUGAUUGCUUCCUUUUGGGCUAUCUAAUUUACUGUUUUGAGAAAAUCUGACCCGUAUCUUGGCUGGGUGACCCGGUAUGGUAUCAUAUGCAAACCGGUGUCUGCAGCCAUGGCGUGUGUCGCUUUCUCUUUGCAUGUCCAUAGAUAGAAAAAUCUGAGCCCUAUAAACUCUCUUACAAAUCAGUGUGUUAACCUUCACAAAAAUGGAGGUUGAGCCCAAUAUGAGGAAAGAGGCCAACAGAGAAAAGAGAAUUCUUGGAAGGGUGGUUGCCCCCCUCUGCUUGGCCUAUGAUUUCUCCAUCAAUAAAACCAACAAUCCUAUUCAGAAGUACUACUAUUAGUCUAUUACUGUUUCUGAUUUCUCUGAGCUUAAACCAAAUAUUAUGGACAUCCUCAGCAGGUUAUCUGUGCGGUCUCUUCUUCGAUUCAAAUGUGUUUUCAAGGUUUUGGAAGACAUUAAGCUCUGAGCCUUACUUUAAGAUGAAGCAUCUCAAUCAUGCCUAGAGUAACCAAAUUCUCAAAAAGUCUUGUUAGCCAAUGGUACCUUUCUACGGACGAGUUCAACUGGUUGAAGAUGUGCAAAAGCGUGGUUGGCCUUCAAAUGGUAAACCACGGAGUUUCAAGCUUUCUGUAUAAACAAUUUCGUUCUGAAUAGUACAGAACCAAAAUGUUCGAAAAAGUUGGCAGCAGAGUAACACUUCACCAUCCAAACAUCUAUAUUUCGGCAUGGCUGAAUAAAGACCGGUAACUUGUAUAUUAAACAAAUUAUUCCAAGAUUUAUUGACACCAUAGUCUUUCAUUACUCAUAACUUAAAAGUCCUUUCCUUUACGUAAGUAGAAUAACCACAAAGCAUUCCUCCCAAUACUGAGACACCACUUUUGACGUAUGCCACGUUUAAAAUCAAGCACAAACCUUCUUGCAACAGUAUCUCUCGGUACACCUCAUUUGAAAUACUAAAUGAAACCACAAAAUUAUUCACUGACAAACCAAGCCAAUGAAAUGCUCCAUGUACAAAUGCCGAAGUGUUCAUAUUAUACUACACAUGGUAAAUGCCGGUAGGAUGUUUAUCAAUUUUUCUCCAGGAACCACUUUUCAGCACUAGAAUUUCACUGCGUGCUGUGUGAUCUCUCCAAAAUUACUUACUUGGGGAUUGGCUAAAUAUAUAGCGGGUUUAGCAAAAAUCCUCAGUUAAGCUUAGAAAGGAAGAAUGAGACAUCAGAGAGAUGGGAUUUUCUGUGAAGGGUGGUUGCCCCUCUCUGCUAUGUCCAUGAUUUCUCCAUUCACAAAACCAACAACCCUCUGGGAAAAGAAAAACAAGAAAGGGAAAAUGAUAAACCAUGAUACCACUGCUAACUAUGAUAAGUAGCAGCCCUGGUGUCAUUUCUGCGUUGAUCUUCGCAGAUCACCUGAAAAUGGGCUGUGAUGAUGAUUGCUUCUUUCUGGGCUAUCUAGUUUACUGCUUUGAGAAAAUCUUACCUGUAUCUUGGCUGGGCGACCCGGUAUGGCAUCGUCUGCAAACCGGUGUCUGCAGCCAUGGCGUGUCACGUUCUCUUUGCAAGAUCAUAUAUAGCAAAAUCUGAGCCCUAAAGAAGUCUUUUGCACAACAAUGAGAAUUUUCCCAGAAGGAAGAAUGAGGCCAACAGAGAGAAAAAUGAUUUCUUGGAGGGUGGUUGAUCUCUCUGGUUGGCCUAUAAUUUCUCCAUUAAAAGAAAUUACUUUUUCCUUCACUAAUGUACCCUUGAUCGGCCAUGGCAAGAGCAAAAGAACUUGGGAAUUGAGCAUUGUGCUAUAUAUAUUAGUGUCUUAGCAGAACCCUCACCAUAGUUUAACCCAGAAAGUAAGAAUGAGACAUCAGAGAGAACAUGGGAUUUCUGUAAAGGGUGGUUGCCCUCUGUCUGCUAUAUGUCCAUGAUUCUUUCUCCAUUCAUAAAAGAAAACCAACAGCUCUUUGAGAAAACAGUAAAAGAAACCAUAUAUGCAUUUGGGCAUAGAUUCCAAAUAUUUUUUGCUUCUGCUACUACUGCAGCUGAUUUUCGCAAAUAUCCACUUUUUAAGUAAGUUAUUGCGUGGAUUCCAAAGAUUUGAGGGACAAAAAUUAAAGACCACCACCAAAAUAGGGGCAUUUGUGCGAAUGACCCAUUUUUGAGAGUUUGGAACCUAAAUGACGUGAAAAAAAGGGCUCUGAUGAUGAAUUGCUUCUUUCUGGGCUAAUAAUCUACUUUACUCGCUGCUUUUGAGAAGAUCCGACCCGUAUCUUGGCGUGGCGACCCGGUACGACAUCCAUGUGCAAACCGGUGUCUUGCAGCCAUGGCGUGUGUUGGUUUCUCUUCGCAUGUUCAUUUACAGAAAAUCUGAGAGAAAAUGACAAAAAUGAUCCUUUAUCUUUGAGGGUAGGUUCAGAAUAGUCCCUUAAGUAUGCACUUAACAGUUUUGGUCCUUUAUGUUUUUCAAAAGUUUAACACUUUUAGUGUCCGUCAAAUCUUUAUCGAACUCUGUCGGUUAGAUUUGACGGAAACAGUGGGGAAAAAAAAGACUUAAACUAUAAAUUUCUUCAAACAUAAGGGACCAUUUUGUCAAAAUCUGACAUGUAUCUUGGCGGGUCGACCUGGUAUGGCAACAUUUGCAACCCGCUGUCUGCAGCCAUGGCGUGUGUCGCUUUCUCUUUGUAUGUUCGUACACAAGCAAAGUGUGAGCCCUAAAAAUUUGUUCGUCAGGGAAUUCAUUCUUUACUCAUCAGAUGGUUGAGCUUGGCUAUAUCUUGGCAUGGCAUCUUUUUGGAGUCUUGUGAGAUAUGGGAACUAUUAGGUUUCUGUGUCUCACAAAGGCUUCUUAAGCUUGCAGCCAUAGUUGGGUUUAGCUUAUGUCUGAGAAAAAGUUAAUCUUUGUGCCCAAGGAAUGAGGCUUUUUAUGGAACUCGAGAAAGGUUGAGAUUUUCUAAGGGUGGUUAUUCUCUUUCUCUGAAGUUCAAUUUAGCCGAUGAAUUUUCCAGUACUUUUGUUACCAAAAGAAAGAUUAACAACCCUUUCAUCAACUAAUGUCAAUUAUGCUCUUGAUGAUGAUGAUGAUGAUGAUGAUUCCGUGGCUUGGCUAUGGUAACCAUAAGGGAAAAUACAUAUUCAACCCCCCAAACUUUUUCAGGAAAUCCUGAUUCCUAAACCCUGAACUUUGUAAUGAGGCUGUGAUGACACUCUCUUGGAAGCUUGAAAAUCAGAUUUUUUAGCUGAUUAGCAUCUUGGCUAGGAGAAGGCAGCAGAAUUGGUGAGGUAGGUUUAUGUGCUUCUCCCAAUGGCGUCUGCUUUUUGCAGCCAUGGGUAGGCAAAUCUGAGCCUCCUUUCUGUGUGGAGCGACAUGGUUAGCAGGUGAGUUUGUUUUUUCUGCUCUUGUGCAAUUGUACAGAAGAGGCAGCAAUGAUGAUGUUUCACUUUCUGGACUAGAUGAAUCUGGACAUUGGACAAUUUGACCUGUAUCUUGGCCUGGCAAAUCAGUGGAUGGUUGGCAUUUGAGAUUCUCUCUUUUACCAUCAAGAUCAUAUUUGAGCCUCAAAUUUCUGGGAAUUGAACUUGGGUCCUCUUGUUCUUUGAAAUCCUUAAGAACUCAAGGAUAGAGUGGUACGAGCCAAUAGAACAGAUCCUGUUCAAUUAAGGUCGUCAUUAAGUUUAACAGAUCUUUUCUCCUGUUCUUGCUGCUGUUGGACUAUUUUAUGAAUCAAGCAGCAAGAAGUCAAUGUAAGAACAGGGAGACUUUAUUGCUGUGAUGGUAAUGCCUUUUUCUAUUUUGAGCAACUGAGUUAGCCGCUGAGAUGAUAAGAGCCGUAUCUUGGAGGGGUAUCGUGGGAAGGUUGCAUCCAUGGCGGUUUCUGAUUAAACCCACUGCCUGAUUGUUAUGUGCAUGAUGUGCAUGUAUAUUAUCUAUGUACAUACCAACACACACACAUGCAUACCUAUCAUGAGAAAAUGUCAAAAAUGGUCCCUUAUCGAUCCUCCCGAGCCAGUAAUUGAGCAUAGAGAGUACCUGACAUGUAUAUUGGCGGGGCAAUGACCCAGAUACGUGUGAUUGUUACACGCAAUUGGGGAAUCUGCAGCCAAGGCGUGGCCGGACUUUCUUUGCCUGAGAAUAAAUACAGAUCAGAGCCUCAAUUGUAACUUACACAGUCAGACAUCUCUAUAACAACAUUUCACUGUAUUAUAUGUUCUCUAUGUCAGCAGUACGCUAUAUCAGCCAAAAUAUAUCAGGACAAACAAUGCUGCUAUAGUGAGGUUUGAUUGUAUCUUUUGGUAUUUUUGGCAUGGAGGGAACUAUUUCAGUGAAGUAGUCAUUUCAACAAAUAAGACCUUCGACAUGAUUCCGUAAUUUGGGAGGUCCAAAAGGAUCAGGGCUCUAUAAAUAUGAAGCAGAAGGUGAAACGAAAAUGGAAAAAUCUCAUUAGUUUAAGUCUGAGGCUGAUUCAGAGAGUUGCGGGGAGUUGUUCGAGUGGUUGCCCCCCUGUCAUUCUUAGCAGCCAAUGAUCACUCAAAUUUUCCCAAUUUCAAACCACUCUCUAGCAAAAUAAGUUCAAUGAGGCAGUGAUGAUUUCAUUCUAUACUCAUCAGAUGGUUGAGCCUUGCUAUAUCUUGGUGUGGCAGCUUUUGGGGGGUUUUGUGAGAUAUUGGAGCUAUUUUGGUUUUUGCGUCUGACAAAGGCUCCUUAAGCUUGCAGCCAAGGCGGGGUGUAGCUUAUGUCUGAGAGAAGGCGAAUCUGAGCCUUCCUAAAAUAUCUUUUAUAGUUCAAAUGAGACUUUUUAUGGAACUCGAGGAAGGUUGAGAUUUUUAUGGAAUUUCAGACUUUGUUUAAGAUCUGAUUUGGUCAGAUGUAAUAAGAUCUAUUAAGAGGUUGUAUCUUAAAAAAAAAAAAAAAAAACACAUUUAA